UACAUGGGGUGCAAACGUUGCUCGGAAUUAUUGGGCGUAAAGCGCGCGUAGGCGGUUACUCAAGUCGGAUGUGAAAGCCCUCGGCUUAACUGAGGAAGUGCACCCGAAACUGAGUAGCUAGAGUACUAAAGAGGGUCGCGGAAUUCCCGGUGUAGAGGUGAAAUGCGUAGAUAUCGGGAGGAACACCUGUGGCGAAGGCGGCCCCCUGGUUGGAUACUGACGCUGAUACGCGAAAGCGUGGGGAGCAAACAGG
rnacentral:rRNA from 1 species